UACGUAGGGUGCGAGCGUUAAUCGGAAUUACUGGGCGUAAAGCGUGCGCAGGCGGUUGCUGAAGUCCGUUGUGAAAGCCCCGGGCUUAACCUGGGAAUGGCAGUGGAAACUAGGCGACUUGAAUCUGGCAGAGGGGGGUGGAAUGCCACGUGUAGCAGUGAAAUGCGUAGAGAUGUGGCGGAACACCGAUGGCGAAGGCAGCCCCCUGGGUCGAGAUUGACGCUCAGGCACGAAAGCGUGGGGAGCAAACAGG
rnacentral:rRNA from 1 species